AUCAGCCUUGUUCUGUCCUCAGCCUCCAAACAUUUGUGUUAAAGCUGUGAUCUAGAGUUGAAUCAGUAGCCUUAGUGCCCUAGUUGGCUUCCUAAUUGUGUAACUUGUUGAACUAUGAAGUAAUUUCAGACUAUGAAGUAAUUUCAGUGUUCAACACCAAGAAGCCCCGUCGUCUCCUGCUGGAAUCAUCAAAAGGCCCCAGCACACUGCAAAUGACCGGCCAGGACUCUGUACCACUGCGGUUGACGUUAUGGAUGGUCAGCUCCACACAGCUGGUGUCACCACUGGAGCAGAAUCUGGCAGAGUACUGCUCCCAGUAUGAGGUUACGUUACCGGUGGCAGGUACAGAGAGGACCAGCUUUUUUCCGACAGUCCAGGUCAUGACCUUCC